GAUUAAUAGUUCUAUAUUAAGCAAAUAUAAUGAAUAGCUUAAGAAAAGUAUCGGCUAAUAUCUGUGCCAGCAGCCGCGGUAACACAGAAGAUGCGAGCGUUAUUCGGUAUUAUUGGGUGUAAAGGGUUUGUAGGUUUUUUAUUAAGUCUUUUGUUAAAUAAUAAGAAAAUUUAUUAAUCAAAAGUUACUAAUAGAAUUGAGUAUAAAUUUUAGCGUAGAAGGAAUUUUUUAUGUAAUAAUAAAAUAUUUAAAUAUAAAAAGGAACAUCAAAGGCGAAGGCAUUCUACUUAUUUAUACUGACAUUGAGGAACGAAAACUAUGGUAGCAAAUGGGAUUAGAGACCCCGGUAGUCAUAGUUGUAAACGAUGAAUACUAAAUUUAAUUAUUUAUUUUUAAUUUUUAAAUUAAAGCUAACGCGUAAAGUAUUCCACCUGGGGAGUACGUUUUUAUUAAUGAAACUCAAAGGAAUUGGCGAGGGUUCUUAUUAACGAUGGAGUAUGUGGUUUAAUUCGAUACUUAGCGAUUACCAAUUUUUUUAAUUAAUGUAAAAAUUUAUUAAAAAGGUGGUGCAUGGCUGUUGUCAGUUCGUGCUGUGAAGUGUUAGGUUAAGUCCUAAAACGAACGCAACCCUCUUAAUUUAUUAUAAAAUAUGUAGUUAUUAAACUUUUUUUUUGUUUGGGAGAUCGCGAUAAAUAAUAACUUUUAUUUACUCUUUUUAUAAAUUAUAAAGUUUUUUAAUUAAUAGUAUUUAUCAAAAUUAAACUUCUAAAAAUAAAAAAAUAAAAUAGAGGAAGGGGGACCAUAGCAAGUCAAUAUGCCCCUUAUAAAUUGGGCUACGCGCGUACUACAAUGGAAUAUACAAUCUAUAUCAAUAAAAUAUUCCUCAGUUCGGAUUGCGAAUCUAAGCUCAUUCGCAUGAAGUAGGAAUCGUAAGUAAUCGUAUAACUUUUAUACGGUGAAAUUAGUAUUCCUCCUUUAAUAGGGGGAAGAGACGAAAUAAGAAUCUUGUACACACUGCCCGUCACGUUACGGCGAUUUUAUUACGUUAAGUCUUCCUUUAUAGGGGGAUGUUCGUAAAAGAG
rnacentral:rRNA from 1 species